rnacentral:lncRNA from 1 species
CCUCCUCCUCUUUUUCUUCUUCGUACAUGUUUUCUUUUCAUAUGCAUACAAACCUAUGUCAUCCACACUUCUUUCAACCAUUCCAUGUUUUCUCUUCUCCUUUACAUAGAAAAUCACAUCACAAAGAGAGGAGAAAAUGGUUCUAUCCAAUUUGAUUAUAAGGUUUGUUUUUACUUUCUUUGAAUUUGAUCCAUGAUUCUCUAAAUUUUUGGGUUGUAUCGAUUAGUUCUCUUCAGUCAUUACAUUGUUUAUUAGACCUUAAAAACUGAUAAUUUUCUAUUAUGAUAAGUGGUUUUGUGAAGUAUUUUCUUGAUUUAGUGUUAUAAUUUAGAUCUGGUAGACAUGCAUCACCUUUGAUGAUAUAUCCAUUUUCUUAAAAUUACAAGAGUUUAUUUUGUAUUUUUUUAAGUUGUAACUUUUAUGCCUAAUGCAAUAUAUUCUUAGGUCUGCCAAUCUUUCAUAUUAUCAUAAAGAGAUUACAAUCAAUCAUAUGAUAUGGACCAAGGAAGAACUUACAAGAAUAUAAGCUUAUGUUGUCUUUAACCCAAAGAACAAAUUAAAAAUAUAAUUACGUAGUUUUAAUAUAGUCUAUACAUCUGCAUUGAAUUGCAUCUAUUUGUGCAUGCAUUUUUCUAUAUAUUAAAUCAAGUACAUGAAUGUCAUAUAUGAGUGUGUGUUUGUUCAAUUUCUGUGAUGAUAUAUAUAAUUAUUGACUAGGUGUUUUUGGCUAGCUUAACUCAUAACCUGUUUUCCUAAUAAUAUACUAUAAUUGUUCUUAUAUUUGAAAGCAUUUUUUAGGAGAUGAUUUUAUGACAUAUUUUGAAAAUAAAACGUGAAAGUAUUUAGUUUGGUGGUUCUUUUAACAAAUUUGAAAGUCUACAUUUUUAGGGAUUAAUUGUUAUUAAAGUGUGAUUUUGUUCUAUGCCCUUAUCGUAUGAUUUGUGAAAGUAUAUGAGUUUGUUUGAAUUGAUUGUAAUUUGAUUAUUGUUUGAUGAAGUGGCGAUUUUUGGUGGAUGUAAAUGGAGAUGCUCGUGAUAGUGCAACAAUGUUAAAGUUAUGAGAUAAAGCGGC